GGGAGAGAGGGUUUUUGCAACAGCCAGAGAAAGAGAGAAUGAUUUUAAAAUCUCAUCCAAUUCGGUUCAUGAAUGUGAAAUUGAAUUUGCCACCAGAUCCAGGAGGUAAAUCCGGUCUUGCAAACUGGAGGCAGAGAAGGAGGUCAGAAGCUUGAUUAGUCUGAAAGUGGAAUCAGAGGUCCGGGUGUUGGGAGGCUGUUCUCUGGCUGAGGAGGAGAUAACAGAUCAUGCCAACAAGACGGAGGUUUGGACUUGAAGCAAACUUGAGGCGAGAAGGAGCAGCGUGGGUACAGGAAUUCCUGCAGCUUGGCUUUCGCUGGCACCGUUACCACUCCCAGAGAGGAGCGGCUGGAGGUCACGGCUGGUUCCUGACAAACGUCCUAAUUAAUCUGCUGAAGAUCAGAGGAGGACUAAUAGGGGCUGAAGACUGUGUGAGGGGCCCACUCCUCCACCGUUUCGCGGCAUGUGUGCAUGUGUGUGUGUGUGUGUGAGUGUGUGUGCGUGCGUGUUUGUGCACACAUGUGAUGCUGAGCUUGGCAGGAAAGAGAUAGACUCAGCCCUCCAUUCAGCACAAUAGGAUCCCUGCUACUGCCCACCCC
rnacentral:lncRNA from 1 species